rnacentral:rRNA from 1 species
GACGAAUGCUGGCUGCGUGCUUAACACAUGCAAGUCGAACGGUGAAGGGGAGCUUGCUCCCCGGAUCAGUGGCGAACGGGUGAGUAACACGUGGGCAACCUGCCCCUCACUCUGGGAUAACUCCGGGAAACCGGGGCUAAUACCGGAUACGACCGGGAGCGACAUCGCUCCUGGUGGAAAGAACUUCGGUGAGGGAUGGGCCCGCGGCCUAUCAGCUAGUUGGUGGGGUAACGGCCCACCAAGGCGACGACGGGUAGCCGGCCUGAGAGGGCGACCGGCCACACUGGGACUGAGACACGGCCCAGACUCCUACGGGAGGCAGCAGUGGGGAAUAUUGCGCAAUGGGCGAAAGCCUGACGCAGCGACGCAGCGUGAGGGACGAAGGCCUUCGGGUUGUAAACCUCUUUCAGCGGGGACGAAGCGAAAGUGACGGUACCCGCAGAAGAAGCACCGGCUAACUACGUGCCAGCCGCCGCGGUAA